GCCCGCGUUGGCCGAGAGGUUUAGGCGGCGGAUUGCAAAUCCGUCUCACAUCGGUUCAAAUCCGAUACGCGGCUCCAA
rnacentral:tRNA from 1 species